GAUGAACGCUGGCGGCGUGCCUAAUACAUGCAAGUCGAGCGAACGGACGAGAAGCUUGCUUCUCUGAUGUUAGCGGCGGACGGGUGAGUAACACGUGGAUAACCUACCUAUAAGACUGGGAUAACUUCGGGAAACCGGAGCUAAUACCGGAUAAUAUUUUGAACCGCAUGGUUCAAAAGUGAAAGACGGUCUUGCUGUCACUUAUAGAUGGAUCCGCGCUGCAUUAGCUAGUUGGUAAGGUAACGGCUUACCAAGGCAACGAUGCAUAGCCGACCUGAGAGGGUGAUCGGCCACACUGGAACUGAGGCACGGUCCAGACUCCUACGGGAGGCAGCAGUAGGGAAUCUUCCGCAAAGGGCGAAAGCCUGACGGAGCAACGCCGCGUGAGUGAUGAAGGUCUUCGGAUUGUAAAACUCUGUUAUUAGGGAAGAACAUAUGUGUAAGUAACUGUGCACAUCUUGACGAUACCUAAUCAGAAAGCCACGGCUAACUACGUG
rnacentral:rRNA from 1 species